rnacentral:tRNA from 4 species
GCGCCAUUAGCUCAACGGAUAGAGCAUCUGACUACGGAUCAGAAGGUUGGGGGUUCGAAUCCCUCAUGGCGCACCA